rnacentral:rRNA from 1 species
AUUGAACGCUGGCGGCAGGCCUAACACAUGCAAGUCGAGCGGAGCGGCGGACGAGUGAGUAAUGCCGAGGAAUCUGCCUGGUAGUGUGGGAUAAGGUCAGGAAACGGGCGCUAAUACCGCAUAGCAAUAGAUGAGCCGAGGUCGGAUUAGCUAGUUUGUGGGGUAAAGGCCUACCAAGGCGACGAUCCGUAACUGGUCUGAGAGGAUGCUCCGUCACCCUGGAACUGAGACACGGUCCAGACUCCUACGUGAGGCAGCAGUGGGGAAUAUUGGACAAUGGGCGAAAGCCUGAUCCAGCCAUGCCGCGUGUGUGAAGAAGGUCUUCGGAUUGUAAAGCACUUUAAGUUGGGAGGCGUUACCAACAGAAUAAGCACCGGCUAACUUCGUGCCAGCAGCCGCGGUAAUUC